rnacentral:lncRNA from 1 species
AUGUUAUAGGGAGGUUGUAGCUCGGCGGAUCGAGCACGAGUGAUUUCAGGAUUUGCUAGCUUUCAGUAUUCACGAGGUGAGUCUUCUCACUAUACUGUACCCGGAAGGGUUUGACUGUGUGACCGGAAGGUCGGAUAUGAUAUGUGAUAUACGUGCUAUAUGUGGUAAGUUAAUUGUUAUGCGUGCUAUGUAUGUUUAUGUGGGCCGGAAGGCAAUAUGUUAUGGGCCGGAAGGCGAUUAUGUUAUGGGCCGGAAGGCGUUGUGUUGUGGACCGGAAGGUCAGGGCCUGGAAAGGCGUAUGUGCGUAAGUUGUAUAUUGGGGAACUCACUAAGCAUUUAUGCUUACAGUUGUUAUGUAUGUGUUUCAGGUACUAGCGAGGACCGUGGGAAGGCGCCGGCGUGAUCUGUACACACUGAAGGAUGUUUUUAUGAUCUUGGGAUUUAGACAAUUUGUAUUUGACAUGACACUUAAAUUAUUUAUGCCUUGUUUUGAAUGAAAAUACUUUAUUUUUAAAAUGAAAAAUUUGUUUGAAAAUUUGCGUUGUUACAAUUGGUAUCAGAGCCUUGGUUUGAGGGAUUCGGGUGCACCUUCGGGAGUAACUGAACUCAAACCGAGGAUUUGAGGAAAACUUUUUAAAUAAAGGCAUAAACUUUUGUAAAUGGUUUUGUGGUAAGCAAGAAAGAAGCAGUGUGUACGAUCAGUCAGCGCCCGAACGGUAAAGAUCCCCAAAAUACCUUACAAUAUUAUAUGAUAUGAAUUGUUAUGCAUGCUAGAAGACUAGGUAUUCAUGAUAGGACUAGAGUGGCCUGAUUUGUGAUGCCUUAGUCUAGGGAAGUUUGCCGAUAUGAGAUGCUUUGCUAGUGUGCGGGUAGAUAGUGCAUAACAGAAGUAGAGUACUCACUAUCCGGGGUUUGGGGAGGAAGACUUGGGAUGAAUGCUGAUGCGGUGUGGUCGGUAGUAUUGGGCCCGUACUACCGAAGACACCGGGUCAGUGGGAGACCCAAGUAAGAAUCCCUGGAUAUCGGAGACUGAGUAGGGUUGCGUUAUCGAGUGCGAUUAUACUCGAUGGAGUCUCUGAUAGUUUUAUGUUGUAUUUCAGAGACAUCAUGGUUAGACCACGCCACGGAGCGAGUUCGAGCGGUGUGAGUGACGAGGAGAUUCGUCAGAUGAUUCACGAGGAGGUAGCUGCGGCGAUCCGGGCUGAGAUCCCGGAGAUGUUUGGGUCUAUUAAGACCACCCUGAUGGAGACGUUUGAUGAGCGGUACGCCGCAUUGACUGAGGCUGCAACCGCUGCAGCUACCGCAGCUGUGGCCGCUGCUAGGCCACAGGGGGGUGACUCGUUGCUGUUCCGAGAGUUCAGCAACACGAAGCCACCAGAGUUCGAUGGGACGCAGGAUCCGAUUGCUGCGAUGAGGUGGAUCGCGGAUAUAGAGGGGUGCUUCUACACUUGUUCAUGCCCGGAGCACCUGAGGGUACGGUUCGCUUUGAACCAGCUCCGUCUGGGAGCGAAGGACUGGUGGAAGUUCGUGACGGCGAACUUCACUUUGGCAGAGACUACAGCAGUGACAUGGGAGGGGUUUACUGCCAUGUUCAGGGAUGAGUACGUUCCCCCGGUGGAGAGGGAACGAUUGGUUCAGGAGUUCUUAACCCUCAAGCAGGGUACUGAUUCGGUUGCGGUGAUCACGCGGAAGUUUCAUGAGAGGGCGAUGUUCUGCCCCGAGCUGGUGUCCACUGAUCAGGCUCGGAUGAGCCGGUACUUGGGAGUGUUGAGGAGGGAUAUCCGGGAGUUUGUGUCAAACUCCACUUACCAUACUUUUGCUGAGCUUCAGGCGAAUGCCAGGAAGCGCGAGAUCGAGUUGGAGACCCAGGCCAGGGAGGAGGCCGAGUCUCAGCGGGUGGACCGGCGACCGGCUCAGUCCCAGCCGGCAGCCAAGCGGACCAAGUCCGCUGAUUCGAGGACAGGAGGUUCGAAGGGUCGCACUUGCGGGAAGUGCGGCAAGAGUCAUGAUGGAGUAUGUCGAUCUGGUGCUUGCUACAAGUGUGGCAAGGAGGGGCACAUUGCUAGGGAGUGCCCCAAGGGAUUUACGGUUUGCUUUCAUUGCAACCAGACAGGCCAUAGGAAGGCCGAGUGCCCUCAGCUUCUUCAGGGAUCUGCACCUGCUGCCGGAGCUACUGCGACUCGACCGGUGAAGGCCGAGGCCCCGAGGGCUCGGGGAAGAGCCUUUCAGCUGACUGCGGAGGAGGUCCGCGCUGCGCCCGAUGUUGUGGCAGGUAUGUUGUAAUUCAUGUAUUUAUUUUAAUGUCGAGAUGUUAUGCUUAUGUUAUUAUAUGCGUAGGUACUUUCCUUGUGAACUCUGUGCCUGCCUUAGUGUUAUUUGACUCGGGUGCGAGUAGGUCCUUUGUGUCCUUAGCCUUUAGUCAGCAUAUCAGCGUUAGUCGUGAGUCGUUGAGUCGACCUUUGAGAGUUUCUAUAGCUGACGAGAAAGUGAUUUGUGCCACGGAGGUUCUUCGGGGAUGUGUACUAGAGAUUUUCGGGGUUGAAUUCCCGAUUGACCUGAUUCCUAUUGCGAUGGGUGAUGUCUGUGUCAUCGUGGGCAUGGACUGGUUGAGCCGAUUCGGCGCUGUCAUCGACUGUGAGCGUCAGUUGGUGACUAUACGAGACCCUAGUGGGGGAGUUCUUUCGGUGUACGGCGAGGGUACCCGUUCGGGAUCAGCUUUUUGUUCGGCCGCUAGGGCGAGGCAGUGUCUACAGCAGGGCUGUAAGGGUUUUGUGGCGUAUGUGAUGGAUACGCGGGAGGUUUCCGAGAGACCGAAGUCAGUUGAGGAGGUCCCUGUGGUGCGUGAGUUUCCAGAUGUUUUCCCCGAGGAGCUGCCGGGAGUACCUCCUGUGAGGCAAGUAGAGUUUGGUAUCGAUCUGGUUCCGGGGGCCGCGCCUAUUGCUAAGGUGCCUUAUCGUCUUGCACCUCCAGAGAUGCAAGAGUUGUCCUCGCAGCUCCAGGAGUUGCUGGGGAAGGGAUUCAUUCGGCCGAGCAGCUCGCCGUGGGGAGCACCUAUUCUGUUCGUCAAGAAGAAGGAUGGUUCACACCGGAUGUGCAUUGAUUACCGGGAGUUGAACAAGUUGACGGUCAAGAACCGUUACCCGUUACCGAGGAUCGAUGAUUUAUUCGAUCAGUUGCAGGGAGCAUCUUGGUUUUCCAAGAUCGAUCUGAGGUCAGGGUACCAUCAGGUGAGAGUGCGGGAUGAGGACGUCCAGAAGACAGCGUUUAGGACGCGAUAUGGGCAUUAUGAGUUUGUGGUGAUGCCUUUCGGGCUCACCAAUGCCCCGGCUGUGUUCAUGGAUCUCAUGAACAGGGUAUGCAGACCGAUGUUGGAUCGGUCAGUGAUUGUAUUUAUCGACGACAUUCUGGUGUAUUCGAGAUCUAGAGAGCAGCAUGAGGAGCAUUUGAGGGAGGUCCUUGAGGUAUUGAGGUCGGAGAAGCUUUAUGCAAAGUUCUCCAAAUGUGACUUCUGGUUGCGGGAGGUCCAAUUUCUAGGACAUGUUGUUAAUCAGAAAGGGAUAUUGGUCGAUCCGGCCAAGGUUGAGGCGGUGAUGAGUUGGGAGGUGCCGAAGUCACCCUCUGAGAUCAGGAGCUUCCUUGGGUUGGCAGGGUAUUAUCGGAGAUUCAUUAAGGAUUUCUCCAAGAUCGCAGUGCCGCUCACCAGAUUGACCCGGAAGGGUGUUGCAUUCUCAUGGGGGCCCGAGCAGCAGACCUCCUUUGAGACACUUCGCCAGAGGUUGUGCGAAGCCCCGGUAUUAGCUCUCCCGGAAGGGAUGGAAGAUUUUGUAGUAUAUUGCGACGCAUCGAUUUCGGGACUGGGUGCAGUGUUGAUGCAGAGGGGUCAUGUGAUAGCUUAUGCGUCGAGGCAGCUGAAGCCUCAUGAGGCGAGAUAUCCCACGCAUGAUUUAGAGUUGGGGGCAGUAGUGUUCGCUCUCAAGAUUUGGCGUCACUACCUGUAUGGGGUUCGAUGUACGAUAUACACGGACCAUAAGAGCUUGAAGUAUUUGAUGGAUCAGCCCAACCUAAAUAUGCGUCAGAGGAGGUGGUUGGAUGUGGUCAAGGAUUAUGAUUGUGAGAUCCUGUACCACCCAGGCAAGGCUAAUGUGGUAGCCGACGCGUUGAGCCGCAGGGCGGAGAGCACUCCAUUGCGAGAUGUAUGCUUGAGACUGACUGUGAUGACUCCAGUAUUGGAUGCUAUUCGUGGGGCACAGGCCGAGGCUGUGCGACCAGAGAUGCAGAAGAAAGAGCGGGUUGUUGGGUUAAUUUCAGAGUUCGUUAAGGAUGGACGAGGGCUUAUGACGUUUCAGGGUCGGAUUUGGGUACCGUUCGUGGGCGGUACGCGUAUUACUUUGAUGGAAGAGGCUCAUAGAUCGAAAUUCUCGAUCCAUCCCGGUGCUACGAAGAUGUAUUUGGAUUUGAGGAAAGAGUAUUGGUGGCCCUGUAUGAAGAGGGACGUCGCAUGGUUCGUUGAGAGGUGCUUGACCUGUCGUAGGGUUAAGGCCGAGCACCAGAGACCGCAUGGCAAGUUACAGCCAUUGGAGAUCCCCGAGUGGAAGUGGGAACAGAUCACUAUGGAUUUCAUCACCAAAUUGCCGAGGACUGCCAGGGGAGUUGAUGCAAUUUGGGUGAUUGUGGAUAGGUUGACGAAGAGUGCACACUUCCUUGCCAUCAGCGAGAGUUCUUCAGCGGAGAAGUUGGCGGAGAUAUAUGUGAGAGAAGUGGUAUCUCGGCAUGGAGUGCCGAUCUCGAUUGUUUCAGACCGUGAUGUGCGCUUCACUUCCAGGUUCUGGAAGAAAUUCCAUGAGGAGCUGGGUACUAAAUUGCAUUUUAGUACCGCAUACCAUCCCCAGACAGACGGUCAGAGCGAGCGGACGAUUCAGACGCUGGAGGACAUGCUUCGAGCGUGUGUGUUAGACUUCGGGGGUAGCUGGGAUGCAUAUUUACCCUUAGCAGAGUUUUCCUACAACAACAGCCAUCAUUCGAGCAUUGGUAUGCCACCUUUUGAGCUGUUGUAUGGUAGGAGGUGUCGGACCCCCAUUUGCUGGGGAGAGGUGGGACAGAGAGUGAUGGGCAGCACAGAGAUCGUGCUUCAGACGACAGAGCAGAUUCAGCAAGUUAGACAGAGGUUAUUGACCGCCCAGAGCCGACAGAAGAGUUAUGCAGACAGGCGCCGAUCCGAGCUUGAAUUUCAGGUCGGCGACUUCGUUCUCCUGAAGGUCUCUCCUUGGAAAGGAGUGAUUCGAUUCAGGAAGAGGGGCAAGUUGGGGCCCCGGUAUAUUGGGCCAUUUCGUGUGAUUGCAAGGAUAGGCCGGGUAGCCUAUCGGUUGGAGUUGCCAGCGGAGUUGGGACAGAUCCACGACACUUUUCAUGUGUCGCAAUUGAGGAAGUGCAUAGCCGAUGAGUCGGCAGUGGUUCCAUUGGAGGAUAUUCAGGUGGAUGCGAGCCUGAAUUAUGCCGAGAGACCAGUGGCCAUCAGGGAUCGGAAGAUCAAGGUUCUGAGGAACAAGGAGGUACCUCUGGUGUUGGUUCAGUGGCAACACCGGAAGGGAUCGGAAAUGACUUGGGAGCCGGAACGUGAGAUGCGGGAGCAGCAUCCGGAACUAUUUUCAGAGUGAGACUUCGAGGGCGAAGUCUAAUCCUAGUGGGGGAGAGUUGUAACAGCCCGGAAUCUCAGGUAUUGUUAAAUUAUGUUUUUGGGGUGAUUUAAGAGGGGACUCGGCGAGUUGGAGCCUAGACUCGCCGAGUAGGAUCGCAGACUUGGUCGCGGGUUCGCGACUGGACUCGACGAGUCCAGAUAUGGACUCGGCGAGUCUACGCUGUUUAGCGAAAACCCUAACCGUUCAGGUUUGGGACGUAUAAAAGGGACUUAUUGGCCGUCAUUGUUCAUUUUAGCCUUCUGAGAAGAACCCUAAAUCGAUUGUGUGCAUCUGGAGCAAGGAUUAUAGGCCAUUGUUGAUUAUAGAAGAGUUGUUGUGCAAGGAAGAGAAGGGAUUGGCUAAAGGAACAGCAAGGGAGUCACAUUCUGAGGAUUGGGGACACAGAGAAUACAUCAUCCAGGUAAGAAUUCGAGUAUACUCUGCUAUGUUGAUGUGAUUAUGGAAUUAGGGUUUAUGGAACCCUUUUGUGAAUAGAUUGAAUGUUACCCUAGUCCCCUAAUCGAUUGUAACCCUGUAUUGGGACCUUUGGAGGUCCAGAAUGUCCCAUGUCUGUGCAUUUCGGGAAUUGAUGAAGGUUUUGGAUUGGAAUCCUUAUGCCUUAGGUCAAAAUGUAAAUUAUGAAUCAUAUGGUGUAUCAUGAGCACUGAAAUGAGGACUUUACGUGAUGGAUCAGCCUAGGAAGGCCAGACCUAGGAAUGGUCGAAGCAGUUCUGACCUUAGGAUGCAGUUUGAGCGGUUGCAUGGCAUGGACUCGCCGAGUUCGAUGAACAGACUCGGCGAGUAGCUUGAAGAUUAACUGGGACUCGUCGAGUUGUUCUUCAGACUCGGCGAGUUGAGUCGGGGUGGCCCCGCGAUUCUUCCAGGAGUAACUCGUCGGGUCAAGGAGGAUACUCGACGAGUAGAAAGGGAAUCUCAGAGAAUUGGAGGACGUCUAGACUCGCCGAGUCGCCAUGGCACUCGCCGAGUCCGGUCGAGUUGACCGUUGACCGUUGACCGUUGACCAGAGUUGACCUAUGUUUGACUUCUUAGGGAUAGUUAAACUUAGAAGAUAAAAGUGUUAAUAAGAGAUAUAUGAUGUUAUAGGGAGGUUGUAGCUCGGCGGAUCGAGCACGAGUGAUUUCGGGAUUUGCUAGCUUUCAGUAUUCACGAGGUGAGUCUUCUCACUAUACUGUACCCGAAAGGGUUGAUUGUGUGACCGGAAGGUCAGAUAUGAUAUGUGAUAUGUAUGCUAUAUGUGGUAAGUUAUUUGUUAUAUUUGCUAUGUAUGUCAUGGGCCGGAAGGCGAUUAUAUUAUGGGCCGGAAGGCAAU